rnacentral:rRNA from 1 species
UAGCGUAUAUUAAAGUUGUUGCGGUUAAAAAGUUCGUAGUUGGAUUUCUGCUGGAUUCGGUCGGUCCGUGCUAUGCGCGAGUAUCUGUCCGAGCCCGGCAUCCUCGCGGAUCACGUUCCUGUGCUUCACUGCAUGGGUCGGAGUUCGCGACUUUUACUUUGAGGAAAUUAGAGUGUUCACGGCAGGCUAACGCCAUGAAUAUAUUAGCAUGGAAUAAUAAUAUAGGACCUUGGUUCUAUUUUGUUGGUUUCUAGGGCUAAGGUAAUGAUUAAUAGGGACAAUUGGGGGCAUUCGUAUUAACGCGUC